ensembl:lncRNA
GUUUACUAGAGCCUCCUGUGUACAUGGUUUUGUGCUGGGUGACUCUGGGGACAGGACAGUGACUAGAACCUGUCCUCACCAGGCUUCCUGUCCAUGGGAGUGACAAUAGUGGCCGGGGCCAGGAUCUAAAAGAGGAGCAACCAAGUCUGCAGCAAUCAGCACUUCCUAGAAAAGAGAUCAGCUGGGCGAUGGGGGGGGGGGGGGAAGCAGCGACCACUACAGGGAAGGUGUGUUUACACAAGACUCGGUGGUGUCCACCACUAACAGGGUUUUCCUAGGUUGCUAGGUUGCCCAGGCUGUGCUCAAACUUUCCACCCUCCUGCCUCAGUGUCCCAGAGUAUCCCACCAGGCCAGGCUACUUCAUCUGCCUUGUUCACUGAUAUAUCCUCAGUGCCUAGGACAAGACCCAGCAGACAGAAGGACCCCUGUGUGAGGUAGGAGAACAAGCCAGAGCCAGCCUGCUGGAGGAUGAGAGGCCCAGCAGACCCCUGAGCUUGCCAGGCACACACCCGUGUGGCUUCCCACAUCACCCAGCCCAGCAAACCUGCAGACUGGAGCAAGAACAAAUGUUCGGUAUCUUAGGCCACUGAGUUUAUGCAGCACCACCCACAGCAAUAGCCAACUAACACAAUGAACCACACUUUUGUCUAAAUAUUUUGUUGUUAAAUAUAACACAAAGGCAGAAACUGCAUAAAACAAUUGCUAUGGUUUUAAUGGAUCCCAAAAAAAAUCAUGUUGGAAACUUAAUCCCCAAUGAAAGUGGCUAUGGUUUGGAUGAAUGUCCCCAAACGUCCCCAUGUGCAAGCUUGGUCCCCAGGGUAGCAGUAGAGGGAGGUAUUGUGGCCCUUUAAGGGUCGGGGCCUAGCAAGAGGUCCUUAGGUCACCAAGGGCGCUCUCAAAAGGAACUGUGGAACCCCAGUCUCACAGUCUGUCUGCUUCUCAUUUGUGAAAUGAGCAAUCUGCUCCUCCCCUCCUGCCACGGUGUGCUGUCCUCAAUCCAGGGCCAAAUCGAGGGGACACCCAGUCUUGGACUUGAAUUUCCAGAACAAUGAGCCAAAAUAAACCCCUCUUUACUUCAUAAGUAUCCUGUGUUGGUCAGGUAUUCUAUUACAAGCAUAAGCCACCAUACCUGGCCUGUAACACUCUUUUGUAGUUACGUAACUAACUUUACUUCGGUCUGGUGUUUUUGUUUUCGUGUAUAUUCAAAUUACUACCCAAGGUCACUUGCUUCAAGCCUGAAGAACUUCCUCACCAUUUCUCACAAGGUGGGUCUGGUUUGCCAGCCUGGUACAGAACUAACUGAUUUUUGGCUGGCUCUGAUUUGAGGGAACCUCCCUCCUCCACAUAGUCCACGUGAUUUUGGCAGGCCAACCUUACUUCCUUCACACAGCAGGCAAAUGACAGUGAUAGCCCUGUGACAAGCCUGGGCCAGUGAAAGCCUGCCUAAAACUGUGAAGGUGACUGGAAGGUAAAAAGAGCCAUCUGCGGAAAUACAUAGAACCCACAUCCAGCCCUGUAUGAAGCUGUACCUGCCACUGGAUUUUCAACUUUUUCAUUAUUAUUUAUUUUACUACAGGAUACCUGGGAUUGAACCCAGGGCCUUCACAGUGAGCUACAUUCCCAGCCCUCUUUUUUUUUUUUUUUUUUAAUAUUUAGGGCUGGGGAUUUAGCUCAGUGGU